CGGGUAUCAUAGUAUCGUUAGUCUUAUUAUUCGCCGGCUUGCUAACUACGCUGAUAACUUCGCCUGUCCGGCUUGCUAACGAUGCUGAUAACAUCGCCUGUCCGGCUUGCUAACGAUGCUGAUAACAUCGCCUGUCGCUCGUUACUCUGAGCAAGCGCAGUGCCUCGCCUCCGGUUUAUGGGAGUACUGGCCGGAGUUUUCGACCGGAAUUAUUGUAUCUCUAAGAAACAUACAGUACCCUUAGAUCUUAGCAACUUAGAAUCCUACGCACAAUGGACUGGUGGUGGGCACUAAUUCCUCCUGCCCUGGCCGUUGUAACCGCCGGAAUUCGCUUCACCGGCCAUCAGAAAACCGCCAAAACUGCAGCACCAGAAACCUUGCGAAAUGGGGGAGGCCUCACACAUAAGAAGCCAUUUGUGUGUGAACGUGUCUGCGCUUCAAAGAGAAUACUCAACAAGGAACCCUUGCCUACAUAUCAUCGCAAGCGGGUGUCAUUGCAGUGUGCCGCUUCUAGGGAACACCCUAGCCAAGCCUUGCUCCUUUCUCACUGCACCUAGAUGUGCAACGUGACGCUAUAGAGAAGGCCCUAUCAUAAAUAUAUAAUGUUGGAUCAAGAUUCAUAAUGAUGUGGCAAAAGUUUUCCACUGGGUGGAACCUAACACAACCCUCAUCCUUUCUCAUAUGGAUAUUAAAAGUUGAAAUUGCUGAAACGUUUGUGUUUUUUUUGUGUUGUUGGUAUAAAUAUUUUUCUAUCUUAUAAGUUUAGCUAAUAUCGUA